rnacentral:rRNA from 1 species
UCAAGUUAUUAAGGGUGCAGGGCGGAUGCCUUGGCACUAGGAGCCGAUGAAGGACGUGAUAAGCUGCGAUAAGCUUCGGGGAGUUGCACGUAAACUUUGAUCCGAAGAUUUCCGAAUGAGGAAACUCACUUAGAGUAAUGUCUAAGUAUCAUUAAGUGAAUACAUAGCUUAAUGAGGGGAACUCAGGGAACUGAAACAUCUAAGUACCUGAAGGAAGAGAAAGAAAUUCGAUUCCGUAAGUAGCGGCGAGCGAACGCGGAUUAGCCCAAACCAAUAAAGUUUUCUUUAUUGGGGUUGCGGACAUAUCAUAACGAAGAGGUAUCGUAAUUGAAGAGGUUUGGAAAGACCCACCACAGAAGGUAAUAGUCCUGUAUGUUAAACGAGAAGACUUCAGAUAUGAUCCAGAGUACCACGGGACACGUGAAACCCUGUGGGAAGCAGGAGGGACCACCCUCCAAGGCUAAAUACUACCUAGUGACCGAUAGCGUAUAGUACCGUGAGGGAAAGGUGAAAAGAACCCCGGGAGGGGAGUGAAAUAGAACCUGAAACCCUGCACUUACAAGCUGUGGAAGCACAUUUCUUGUGUGACCGCGUACUUUUUGUAGAACGGGCCAACGAGUUACGUUAAGUAGCAAGGUUAAGCACUUAAGGUGUGGAGCCGUAGCGAAAGCGAGUUUUAACUGAGCGUUCAGUUACUUGACGUAGACCCGAAACCGGGCGACCUACCCAUGAGCAGGAUGAAGCGAAAGUAAAAUUUCGUGGAGGUCCGAACCCACGAGCGUUGAAAAGCUCGGGGAUGACUUGUGGGUAGCGGUGAAAUUCCAAUCGAGCCCGGAGAUAGCUGGUUCUCCCCGAAAUAGCUUUAGGGCUAGCCUCAAGGUGAGAGAUACGGAGGUAGAGCACUGAAUGUCCUAGGGGGUAUUGCACCUACCGAAGACUAUCAAACUCCGAAUGCCGUCAUCUUAUACUUGGGAGUCAGACUGUGGGUGAUAAGAUUCAUAGUCGAAAGGGCAACAGCCCAGAUCGUCAGCUAAGGUCCCUAAAUGUAAGUUAAGUGGUAAAGGAUGUGGGAUUGCACAGACAACCAGGAUGUUGGCUUAGAAGCAGCCACUCAUUCAAAGAGUGCGUAAUAGCUCACUGGUCGAGUGAUCCUGCGCCGAAGAUUUCCGGGGCUAAAACUUACUACCGAAGCUACGGCAUCAGUAAUGAUGGGUAGGGGAGCUUCCCAUACGGGUUGAAGCAUGACCGUAAGGACAUGUGGACAGUAUGGGAGUGAGAAUGUUGGCAUGAGUAGCGAGAUGUGGGUGAGAAUCCCACAGGCCGUAAACCCAAGGUUUCCAGGGGAAGGUUCGUCCGCCCUGGGUUAGUCGGGACCUAAGCUGAGGCCGAAAGGCGUAGGUGAUGGACAACAGGUUGAUAUUCCUGUACUACCGAUAACCGUUUGAGAGAAGGGAUGACACAGUAGGAUAAGCUAAGCACACUGUUGGUUAUGUGUGCCCAAGCAUUGAGGCAGUCAAAGUAGGCAAAUCCGCUUUGAUAAUGCUGGGAUGUGAUGGGGAGCGAAAUUUAGUAGCGAAGUAGCUGAUUUCACACUGUCAAGAAAAGUCUCUAUCGAGGUUAAAGGUACCCGUACCGCAAACCGACACAGGUGGGUGAGGAGAGUAUCCUAAGGCCAGCGAGAGAACUGUUGUUAAGGAACUCGGCAAAAUGACCCCGUAACUUAGGGAUAAGGGGUGCCACCAUCAGGUGGCCGCAGAGAAUAGGCCCAAGCGACUGUUUACCAAAAACAUAGGUUUCUGCUAAGUCGCAAGACGAUGUAUAGGAGCUGACGCCUGCCCGGUGCUGGAAGGUUAAGGGGAUCUGUUAGAGCAAUCGAAGCAGUGAACUUAAGCCCCAGUAAACGGCGGCCGUAACUAUAACGGUCCUAAGGUAGCGAAAUUCCUUGUCGGGUAAGUUCCGACCCGCACGAAAGGCGUAACGAUUUGGGCACUGUCUCAACAACAGACUCGGUGAAAUUGUAAUUCCGGUGAAGAUGCCGGAUACCUGCGACAGGACGGAAAGACCCCAUGGAGCUUUACUGUAGCUUGACAUUGGGUCUUGGUACUACAUGUACAGGAUAGGUGGGAGGCUUUGAAACCAGGACGCCAGUUUUGGCGGAGCCAUCCUUGGGAUACCACCCUUGUAGUACUGGGACUCUAACCAUAGGCCAUGAAUCUGGUCUUGGGACACUGUCAGGUGGGCAGUUUGACUGGGGCGGUCGCCUCCCAAAAGGUAACGGAGGCGCUCAAAGGUUCUCUCAGUACGGUCGGAAAUCGUACGUAGAGUGUAAAGGCAAAAGAGAGCUUGAUUGCAAGACAUACAGGUCGAGCAAGGAUGAAAAUCGGACUUAGUGAUCCGGUGGUUCUGCGUGGAAGGGCCAUCGCUCAACGGAUAAAAGCUACCCUGGGGAUAACAGGCUUAUCUCCCCCAAGAGUCCACAUCGACGGGGAGGUUUGGCACCUCGAUGUCGGCUCAUCACAUCCUGGGGCUGUAGUAGGUCCCAAGGGUUGGGCUGUUCGCCCAUUAAAGUGGUACGCGAGCUGGGUUCAGAACGUCGUGAGACAGUUCGGUCCCUAUCCGUCGCAGGCGUAGGAAAUUUGAGAAGACCUGUCCUUAGUACGAGAGGACCGGGAUGGACGUACCUCUGGUGUACCAGUUGUUCUGCCAAGGGCAUGGCUGGGUAGCUAUGUACGGAAUGGAUAAGCGCUGAAAGCAUCUAAGCGCGAAGCCAACUUCAAGAUAAGAUUUCCCACAGCAAGGGUAAGACCCCAGAAAGACUAUCUGGUUGAUAGGUCGAAGGUGUAAGUGCAGCAAUGUAUUUAGCUUAUCGAUACUAAUAGGUCGAGGACUUGACCAA